UGCCCAGCAACUCCUAUCCCUACCUCCUCGUGGUACUGGCCGGAAACUAUGAGUAACCUUAGAGAAGAUCGGAUAACCAAACCCCGGUGGGAACUUUCGUCGUGGGCUGACAGGGAAGG
rnacentral:ribozyme from 1 species